GACGAACGCUGGCGGCGCGCCUAACACAUGCAAGUCGAACGAGCGAGAGAGAGCUUGCUUUCUUGAGCGAGUGGCGAACGGGUGAGUAACGCGUGAGGAACCUGCCUCAAAGAGGGGGACAACAGUUGGAAACGACUGCUAAUACCGCAUAAGCCCACAGCUCGGCAUCGAGCAGAGGGAAAAGGAGCAAUCCGCUUUGAGAUGGCCUCGCGUCCGAUUAGCUAGUUGGUGAGGUAAUGGCCCACCAAGGCGACGAUCGGUAGCCGGACUGAGAGGUUGAACGGCCACAUUGGGACUGAGACACGGCCCAGACUCCUACGGGAGGCAGCAGUGGGGAAUAUUGCACAAUGGGGGAAACCCUGAUGCAGCGACGCCGCGUGGAGGAAGAAGGUCUUCGGAUUGUAAACUCCUGUUGUUGAGGAAGAUAAUGACGGUACUCAACAAGGAAGUGACGGCUAACUACGUGCCAGCAGCCGCGGUAAAACGUAGGUCACAAGCGUUGUCCGGAAUUACUGGGUGUAAAGGGAGCGCAGGCGGGAAGGCAAGUUGGAAGUGAAAUCCAUGGGCUCAACCCAUGAACUGCUUUCAAAACUGUUUUUCUUGAGUAGUGCAGAGGUAGGCGGAAUUCCCGGUGUAGCGGUGGAAUGCGUAGAUAUCGGGAGGAACACCAGCGGCGAAGGCGGCCUACUGGGCACCAACUGACGCUGAGGCUCGAAAGUGUGGGUAGCAAACAGGAUUAGAUACCCUGGUAGUCCACACUGUAAACGAUGAUUACUAGGUGUUGGAGGAUUGACCCCUUCAGUGCCGCAGUUAACACAAUAAGUAAUCCACCUGGGGAGUACGACCGCAAGGUUGAAACUCAAAGGAAUUGACGGGGGCCCGCACAAGCAGUGGAGUAUGUGGUUUAAUUCGACGCAACGCGAAGAACCUUACCAAGUCUUGACAUCCUGCGACGGUGCUGGAAACAGUACUUUCCUUCGGGACGCAGAGACAGGUGGUGCAUGGUUGUCGUCAGCUCGUGUCGUGAGAUGUUGGGUUAAGUCCCGCAACGAGCGCAACCCUUAUGGUCAGUUACUACGCAAGAGGACUUUGGCCAGACUGCCGUUGACAAAACGGAGGAAGGUGGGGAUGACGUCAAAUCAUCAUGCCCUUUAUGACUUGGGCUACACACGUACUACAAUGGCGUUAAACAAAGAGAAGCAAGACCGCGAGGUGGAGCAAAACUCAGAAACAACGUCCCAGUUCGGACUGCAGGCUGCAACUCGCCUGCACGAAGUCGGAAUUGCUAGUAAUCGCAGAUCAGCAUGCUGCGGUGAAUACGUUCCCGGGCCU
rnacentral:rRNA from 1 species